ACCAAUGAAGACCACGGCUUUGCGUAUGUGCCAGCAAAGUUGUGGAGGCCAUUUACCCAAUGUGCUAUUACAUACAUAACCCUAUACUGUAUACUUUAUGAAUCAAUAAAAAAUUUACAAUUUUUAAUUAUAAACCUGUGUUUUCUAUCAAAAUUACUUCUUGUGUGUAUUUUGGGACACCCUAUAUUAUACAAUUAUCCUUUUUUCCCCAAAGGAAUUUAAUCAUUAAUCCUCAAUGGAAAUGAAGUAACAUCUUACAGUAAAGAAUGGGUAUGUGGGAGUGGGGGAAGUACUUCUGAGUUAAUUAUACUGAUUGCUUCCAAAAACAAUGUAGAAAGAGGAAAAGACUAGAGUUCAGAUAAGAUAAAUUGCUUCAUGUGACCAAAGGGAGAAUCAUUUUACCACAAAAUGAAAACAACUGUGGUUACAUUUAGAAGAAUGAAAACAUCCAGAUUUCUCAAAUGUCAACAAUAUUCUCCGGCUUGUAAAAUGCUCCUGACAGCAGUCUAUUUACAUCUGAUAUGAUGUCAUUUCAUAUUAACAGAUUUCAUGGGCUCACCCCAAACUCAGAAUUAUGCUUUCUGUAAUUAUGCUAUGGAUCAAUUGCUUUGAAACAGACAUUUUCUGCUUGAAAGGUUUUCAGGGACUUUAGAAUAUAGCAGUAAGCAGGUUGGGAGCAAUCUGGUCUGGAGAUUUGAAGAGGUAGGCUGCUAACUUGCGACAGUCACAAUAGGGUAGUCAAUUAACAUUUGUUGAGUACUCUAUGCAAGGCGUGGUUGAAAGCAUUUUACUUGUAUUAUUUCAUUAAACCUUUGUAACAGCCCUAUGAAGUAAGCAAAUCACUGUCUCCAUUUCACAGGUGGGGAGCUUGAGGCACAGGAUGGUCAUGUGACUUCCCCAAGGUCAUGCUGCUAGUAAGUGGCAGAGCCAGGAAUGGAAUGCAGGCGAUCUGGUUCCACAGCCCACUUACCACUAUCUGUCUGCCUUAUAACAUCAGAAUUUUUUAAACUGCUAGAAAAUGCCUUGAAGAACCCAGGAACAUAUUGAGUGGGACGUUUUGCCUCUCCGCAUCUCAAAUCUAGAGUGAAUCUAGAGGUUUAAGAGAAGCAAGUAUGAA